GAUGAACGCUGGCGGCGUGCCUAAUACAUGCAAGUCGAGCGAACAGACGAGGAGCUUGCUCCUCUGACGUUAGCGGCGGACGGGUGAGUAACACGUGGAUAACCUACCUAUAAGACUGGGAUAACUUCGGGAAACCGGAGCUAAUACCGGAUAAUAUAUUGAACCGCAUGGUUCAAUAGUGAAAGACGGUUUUGCUGUCACUUAUAGAUGGAUCCGCGCCGCAUUAGCUAGUUGGCAAGGUAACGGCUUACCAAGGCAACGAUGCGUAGCCGACCUGAGAGGGUGAUCGGCCACACUGGAACUGAGACACGGUCCAGACUCCUACGGGAGGCAGCAGUAGGGAAUCUUCCGCAAUGGGCGAAAGCCUGACGGAGCAACGCCGCGCGAGUGAUGAAGGUCUUCGGAUCGUAAAACUCUGUUAUUAGGGAAGAACAAAUGUGUAAGUAACUAUGCACGUCUUGACGGUACCUAAUCAGAAAGCCACGGCUAACUACGUG
rnacentral:rRNA from 1 species